GCGAGGGCGCGAGGGCGUGUCUAGAUGCGCUCAACGCGCUCUCAACACACUCACUGCACUCUUGGUCAUCAUCAUGUUUUCUCGUUCGCAGGACGUGGAUGCGAUGUGCAGCCGAUCCGUCCCGACAACGCUGCGGCACGGCGUGGUCUGCAACCCGACCGACCGACAGCGCACGUGCCGCCCUCUGCAGGGCUCAGGACGAACAGGGCGGGGCCAGCAGGGCUCACAGGUCUGAGGUGCGAGGGGCAGGGCUUGCGUGAAGGGGAGGUCAGUCUGUAUGCAUCGUUCCGCGCAUGCGUCGAGGGGAGCCGUGCCGCAGUGCCGCAGUGCCGCACCCUCACUACUGGUUCGAAGCUGAAUACCGGCGGACAUCUGAUGCUGUGCUUGUGCCGCCUCAACGUUACCGAGUUACUAAGUCGGAAGGUCAUCAGCAGUCAGCAUACAGUAAUACAGAAACGUUUGAAGGUUUCAGAUCUUAGACCCGAAUAGCUCCAUCGACAAUCCAUGUGGCACAUUCGUGAUCUACCCUGUAGAUCCGGGCUUUCGUAAAAAACAAAUCGAAAGCUCGUCUCUACAGGUAUAUCACGGCUGGCCCACGCCACCUUUUCUACAAUUAGUCAAGAACUGGUGGCGAUUCAACAUGCGGACGGAGCCAACGAGCCAACGAGUCGACGAGGUCGCGCGACCACUGACCGCGGCUACCCUGCGUCUACCCUGCGUCUACCCUGCGUCUACCCUGCGUCUACCCUGCGUCUACAAACAUUCCCAUCGUAUGCCUGAUCGUAUUCCUGUACAUACUUAUGCUACAUUGUGUUAUGUUACCUUACUUUCAACUUUCUAACAGUGUCGUUGCAAUACAGUCUCUACUACGUUUCCCAAAAGAAGGAUUCUUUGUUUUGAAAAACGUACCGAGUUUACUGAAAUUAAUAAUGAUGUAUAUGUUGUGUGUCAUUAAUGUUGUGCUGGUGAUGGUGGCGAGGCACUGGCGACUACUGUUAUUGUGAACUCGAUGUUAAUUUAGAGUCUUCUGUGGCGUUUGUUGAGCGCAAUUACAUUUUAAUAAAUAUACUUUUAAAAAAAUAAAAUGUUUAAUUAUAAA